rnacentral:lncRNA from 13 species
AUGAUGCCCAGCCUCACACGGCGGAAGUGGACGCCAGCCUCACUCGGCGGAAGUGGACGCCAGCCUCACUCGGCGGAAGUGGACGCCAGCCUCACUCGGCGGAAGUGGACGCCAGCCUCACACGGCGGAAGUGGACGCCAGCCUCACACGGCGGAAGUGGACCACAGCCUCACACGGCGGAAGUGGACGCCAGCCUCACUCGGCGGAAGUGGACCACAGCCUCACUCGGCGGAACUGGACGCCAGCCUCGCACGGCGGAAGCAGAUUGUCCUCACUCUUUAUCUUCCUGACAUCCUUGGAUGGCUCAGGGAAGCAGAGCACACCGCACCCUGGAGGAAUGAGACCACUGCAGAUCCCAAGAGCAGGAAAAGCUGGAGACCAGCGACACCCACUGCCCAGACCGUGCGAGGACCGCGAGUGUCCCAGGCAAAGGACCUCAGAACUGGGGCUCGUGGGGACAGUGUGGAUGAUGAACGGAGGUGGCUGAAGGAAAGCACACUGAACAGGAAUAAAAGACAGACAGCCUUGUUUCCUGGAGGCCAGGCUUUCCUCGUCACAGGGGCACUGGGGGUGUCAGACACUGCACUGGCUUGUGACGGCGUAUCACUGGCCCUGCGGGGUGGGCUGAAAAAGCAAACGGAGAAAUGGAAACAGAGAGGUUAAGACUCUCAUCCAAAUCCAUGCAACUAGUGAGUGGCAGAACUGGGAUUCAGAUCCAAGCAGCUGGCUCAACGUCCACACUUGUAAUCACUGAGGUGAUUCAUACCUUCUAUUGAAAUGUGCCUUUUUCCUCACAGACUCAGACUGUGGAUUCUUUUUUUUUUUUUUUUUUUUUUUGAGAUGGAGUCUCACCCUGUUACCCAAGCUGGAGUGCAAUGGUGUGGUCUCAGCUCACUGCAACCUCUGCCUCCCAGGGUCAAGCUAUUCUUCUGCCUCAGCCUUCCGAGUAGCUGGGACUGCAGGCAUGUGCCACACACACAUCUGGCUAAUUUUUGUAUUUUUAAGAGAGACAGGGUUUCACUACGUUGGCCAGGCUGGUCUCAAACUCCUGAUCUUGUGAUCCGCCUGCCUCGGCCUCCCAAAGUGCUGGAAUUACAGGCGUGAGCCACCAUGCCCGGCCUCAGACUGGAUUCUUAAAGGUCAAGAACUUAGAUUUACUCACUGCUAUAUCCACUCUGCUUAGCCAAGUACCGGACACAUGGUAUGUUCUCAACCAAAGUAUUCUCUUUCCCCUCAAAUCCUCUAUAUUUCUAUUCUAGGAGCCCCCUGAGCCAUCAUAGAUUUUAUCCCAUCAACCCCACUUCAAUCCCUUCCACCCAACAGGCUUGCUCUCUCAUAAGCAGGGUCCCCUACUCAGAGUAUUUAUUUCUCUUUUCCCUUUCUCCCCUCCCCAAACCCUACAGGGCCUUCCAUCUGAUGAGGUCCUGCCAUCAGAAAUACUAAUUUAUGCCAAUGUUAAUCACUUAUAAGUUAUUUCCUCUCUUGGUAGAAUUCACUAUCCCAAGUAGAAAAAAUUCCAAAUCCAAGAAUUCAGACAAUCCAUCAGUUCAAUCUGACUCAUUACUGUCCCCUUCUGAGACUGUCCCCAGGUCAUGGACUGAAUGGGACCUGCUGCUUCCUUCAG